rfam:Xylanimonas cellulosilytica DSM 15894, complete genome.
AGCGUUUUUCGCCGCGGCGGAGCUCGACCGCAGACUCGGACAGUGAUCGACUACGUGCGUCAGCACGCGGGUCGUUUCGGGGUCGAGCCGAUCUUGACGGUGCUCGCCGAGCAUGGCAUCAAGGUCGCCCCG